CGCUUCCACCUUUGAGCAUACUCUUUGAAAGACUCGUUGAACUGUUUCUUGACCUUGGUGAUCUGAUAUCGGUCAGGAGCCAUCUGAGACUAGAAGCUGUAUUGAGUGAGGAAGGCAUGAGCUAGCUCCUCCCAAUUAUGGAUCUUUGAGUUGUCUAAUCCGGUAUACCACGAACGGGCUUCUUCAGUCAAACUCUUCUGGAACAGCUGCAUUCUAAGCAUCUCGUCCUCUGCAUAAGAUCUGAGUUCUCCAAUAAACACCUUCAAAUGUGUGUAAGGAUCUCCUAACCCGUCAU
rnacentral:lncRNA from 1 species